rnacentral:rRNA from 1 species
GACGAACGCUGGCGGCGUGCUUAACACAUGCAAGUCGAACGGAAAGGCCCUGCUUGCAGGGUACUCGAGUGGCGAACGGGUGAGUAACACGUGGGUGAUCUGCCCUGCACUCCGGGAUAAGCCUGGGAAACUGGGUCUAAUACCGGAUAGGAGCCAUUUUUAGUGGGAUGGUUGGAAAGUUUUUUCGGUGUAGGAUGAGCUCGCGGCCUAUCAGCUUGUUGGUGGGGUAAUGGCCUACCAAGGCGGCGACGGGUAGCCGGCCUGAGAGGGUGGACGGCCACAUUGGGACUGAGAUACGGCCCAGACUCCUACGGGAGGCAGCAGUGGGGAAUAUUGCACAAUGGGCGCAAGCCUGAUGCAGCGACGCCGCGUGGGGGAUGACGGCCUUCGGGUUGUAAACUCCUUUCGCUAGGGACGAAGCUUUUUGUGACGGUACCUAGAGAAGAAGCACCGGCUAACUACGUG